GCCGGGGCGUCCCCCGCGGGAGCCCGCAGCCACCCGGGACGCGCAUCCAGACGUGGCGCUUCGGACCGGGCACGCUGCGCCCGGGGGCUCGGCGGACCCCGCGUAGCCGCCGCUUCGGAGCUUGUGCGGCGCGGGCUGGCCAGCGGGGCGGCCAGGGCCCGGCCCGCCUCCCCAGCGCCCGCCCGGCUUCUCCCCCUGGCGGUGGGAGCCUCGGCGGCCGCUGGCGACACUAGGCGCACUGAAGCCCGAGCCGAGCCGAGCCCGAGCCGCCGCCGCCGCCGCCGCUGCUGCGCACCGCUCCCGGGCUCCCUCCCAGCGCGCCGGCCGGGGUGUGGGGGGCGGCGGGCCGGAGGGGCGAGGGCGGGCCAGGGGGCGCACACGGGGGUUGGCGCGGAAGACAGGACCCUCAGCCUCGAGGGAGCCCCUAGGUGACCAGGCAAAAUGGCAGUUCCUUCCAGCUGGUCCUCAGAUGGGCACAUCUAUUAGCCUCUGCUCUUGUAAGAAGUUAGCUGCAGAACCCACAUGUGAAUCCUUGUAGGACUCUGGAGAAGAUCAAAUGGGAGCUUAGAUGUGGAAGCUCUUUGGAAACCAAGAAACACUCUGAAAAUGAAAAGGCAUAAGAAUGUUUAUCACAGCAUGGCAUAUAUUGGAAGUUUAGUAAAUGAAGAUACAUCCAAUCUGACAUUCUAUUCACAACCACAAAGAGAUAAUGUAGAAACAUAUUUAGUAAUGUGAGAAAAUACUAAAUAUUAAGUGAAAAAGGUGGAAGAGUAAACUGUUCCUGUUUCUCCAUCUUGACAGGAAGCAGAAGUUCUCCUUAGCUGAUUUUUCUUCUUGCCUUAUACUGGGUUCUUUAACACCAGAACAAAAAUAAAUAAAUAAAAGAAUCUUCCAGAAAUUCAUGAAGAGACUUCAGGUCAGGAAAGCCUGAACUUUCUCAUCCAACACCCGUUCAAGUCGGAGGAUGCUGAUUAAUUCAUGAUGGAAAGGUAUCAAUUUCACAGCCCAGACCUCUACAUUCUUGAAAUGCUCUUCUCAUGGGAGACAUUAAAUAAGCUUUGAAUUAACUGAGACCUCUGUGGAUUCUAUAACUCAAAGACCCAGGCUGACGGCUGGUGGAAUAGCUACCAUCUCAAACAUGGCGUGAUGCUGCAUCAGAGAGAAAAAUAAGCUCUUGCAUUGACAAUGAAAUGUCUACCCUGUAGUGACUUGUGCUUACUUCCACUCACAAGUGAUUGCCCAGAGCUACUUACCUGGCUCCAAUCUACCACUGGGUCAGACGUUUGCUGAAUUCAGUUCUGAGCUUUUGAACCAAAAGCAGAUCUUCAGAACAAGAAACAAGAUAAUAAAAGAGAAACAUGAAGAAACUGAAGAUGAUUGGAGAAAUAUGAAUCAAGAUGAUUAGACCUAGCAGAGGGCUGGCUGGAUGGCAUUUAUGUUGACAAUGGACUCCUACACAGAGGAUGAUCAUGGUCUAGGACAUAAUAGUCAUUCAAUCAUCAUUUCUUAAAUGAUUUUUUAAAACAAGUGAAUGAAUGACCAAUUAUAUACCUUCCCUGAGCCAAUAAAAUAUAUUAAAAGUAUAGGCCUGGGCACAGUGGCUCAUGCCUGU
rnacentral:lncRNA from 1 species